rnacentral:tRNA from 1 species
GGGAAGGUGGUUCAGUGGUAGAGCGCUUGCCUUGAAUCCAUGAGGCCCUGGGUUCGAUUCCUCAGCACUACUU